AACGAACGCUGGCGGCAGGCCUAACACAUGCAAGUCGAGCGAGGACUUCGGUCCUAGCGGCGGACGGGUGAGUAACGCGUGGGAACGUGCCCUUUGCUUCGGAAUAGCCCUGGGAAACUGGGAGUAAUACCGGAUGAGCCCUUUGGGGGAAAGAUUUAUCGGCGAAGGAUCGGCCCGCGUUGGAUUAGGUAGUUGGUGGGGUAAUGGCCUACCAAGCCGACGAUCCAUAGCUGGUUUGAGAGGAUGAUCAGCCACACUGGGACUGAGACACGGCCCAGACUCCUACGGGAGGCAGCAGUGGGGAAUCUUAGACAAUGGGGGAAACCCUGAUCUAGCCAUGCCGCGGGAGCGAUGAAGGCCUUAGGGUGGUAAAGCUCUUUCAGCUGGGAAGAUAAUGACGGUACCAGCAGAAGAAGCCCCGGCUAACUCCGU
rnacentral:rRNA from 1 species